rnacentral:rRNA from 1 species
UACGGAGGAUGCAAGCGUUAUCCGGAAUUAUUGGGCGUAAAGCGUGUGUAGGCGGCUCGAUAAGUCCGCUCUGAAAGUCCAGGGCUCAACCCUGGGAUGCGGGUGGAUACUGUCGGGCUCGAGUCCGGAAGAGGCGAGUGGAAUUCCCAGUGUAGCGGUGAAAUGCGUAGAUAUUGGGAGGAACACCAGUGGCGAAGGCGGCUCGCUGGACCGGUUCUGACGCUGAUGCGCGAAAGCGUGGGGAGCAAACGGG